AGGGCGGAGGGCGGAGGGCCGAGGAGUGACCCGGAAGCCUGUCGGGUGCCGAGGGAGGGCGUCGGCGCCCUGGAUCCCAGCCGCACCUUCGCUGACACGUUCCGGGCCUGGCUCCCACUCCGUUCCGGGAGGCUUGCUCAGGGCCACGUACUCGCGUGGGGCAAGGCUGCCCCCGGGUCUAGGGAAAGCGCAUCCUUUCUCUUGGGAGGGCUUCUUGAGCCUGCCUCUGAGGGAGCUUAGUAAGGGAGAACAGUACUGUGGUCGGCACCUGGUUGCUGUGAGCUUGCAACAGGGAAACCUAGUUUAGCUUGCAGGUCUGAACGCCUCUUUUGAUGGCUUUGAUAGUUGAGGGGGAGGGCGGGGGUAGGUGGGGGUAGCUCCUCAUUCAAGAGAUAGAAGAGAGAGAUGGGAGGGAAGAAGGGAGGAUCACGGAUGACGCCCUAGGUGUCCAUUCUCGACAACCAGAUGGAUUUUGGCACCAUUCUCCAGGAUACAGAGGCUUGAGAAGUUUGGCAGCUUUCUCCUGAAACUCAGAUACGAGUAAUUGGUUUCUAGUCGAGGGAGGGGCAGGGGUGUAAUUCUGGGGUAACAGCACCUGCAUCCAUCCAGUUGCACAAGCCAAGAAGCUGGAGUCCUCCUGGUCACUGCCCCCCUCUCACCAUCCCCAUGCCCCAACACCAACAGGCCAUCAACUGGGAAUGAGAAAAGUCUGCAGAUUGAAGGGGCUCCCAAGGGAACCCAGGCUUCUCCACAGAAGAGCAUAUUUUGAACACAACUCCUACAGGAAUGUUGGCCAAACACAAGCAAGGGAGGCAGUAGUGCACUGUGUUGGCAGGGGGUGGGGGGCUGGGGGACGAGGGCUGCUCUGAAAAGACUGUCGUGUCUCUUUGACUCUGGGUAUCAUCCCUUUUCCCUGAGAGGUAUCUUCAGUCGAUUACGGCAGAUUUUUGCUCCUGACAGACAACGAGGCUUAAUUCUUCUGCAGCUUACCUUGGAUCUGCAAGCAGCAUUGAGAUCUGCCCGGCUGUGGGCAAGAGGCCCAGGAAUACAGUGAUCUCGACAGUGGCUGUGGCCCGGGAAAUGCUGAGCACGUGGGCAGCCACUGCAGGCCACACAGAAACCAGACGAUCCAGAAAUGCCCUGGGCAAACCAAGUCUUUGCCUCUCCAUCUCUUUCAGUCACAAACUUAUUUUUUUCUGUAGAGUUCAGCAUUAAAGACAAUUUGAAUAUUUGUCCCAUACUCAUAUAGGAUUCCCUAUUCUUCCCAGAUUUAAAAAAGUUAUCUUUUCAUUGGGAAACAACAAGACUCUUUAAAAAUGGACCAGCAGACAUUUCUAGAGUUUUGAGGUUCCACAUGUUACCAGGACUUAAAUCUGCUGGUGCCCAGCAUCAGCUUGGAAAUCACCAUGAAUGACGGGCCAGCAUUAGAAUCGGGAGAGUCUUCUCUGUCUUGCGUCCCCUCACCCCCACACCUGAUAAUUACUUCUGUUACCAGAGAGUUCUUUCCGUGAAUUUCCUUUGUUACUUAGGUAAAUGUUUCCUUCCUCAUUUCAGUUAUUUGUGUAACAGUUUGUUUCCGUUGUUUCUUUUAAAGAUUAAAUUGAAGAAGGGAUACAAAGCUCUA